rnacentral:lncRNA from 1 species
UGUUUACAUUUUAAAGAGAAUGAACAUGAAAGUGUUUACAUUUUAAUUAUUUAGUCCUUUUUCCUACUAUUAUUUAUUUGUUCAAUUACUUAGUGGUGAUGCCCAAAUAUGGCUAAUCCAAACAAAAACCCACCAAGCCAAGACCAAACAUUACUAUGCAGAUUAACUAAAUAGGGAAAAGAGAAUUCAACACAAAUCCACAAGGAGAGAGAAAAUUAAAUAAAGCCCACAAAGUCAAAUCCACAAACAGUACAAUUUUGGUGAAAAAAAGAAGCUAUGCAGCUUUUGCAGGACAAGCCAAUAUCAUGUAGAUCAAAUCAUUCAAAAGAUCAGCAAGAUCUCCAUCCAUCUCACCUUCGAUCACCCAAAUUUCUCGCC